UACGGAGGGUCCAAGCGUUAUCCGGAUUCAUUGGGUUUAAAGGGUCCGUAGGCGGGCUUUUAAGUCAGAGGUGAAAGCCUACAGCUUAACUGUAGAACUGCCUUUGAUACUGGAAGCCUUGAGUAUAGUUGAAGUGGGCGGAAUACGUCAUGUAGCGGUGAAAUGCAUAGAUAUGACGUAGAACACCGAUUGCGAAGGCAGCUCACUAAGCUAUAACUGACGCUGAGGGACGAAAGCGUGGGGAGCGAACAGG
rnacentral:rRNA from 1 species